GACGAACGCUGGCGGCGUGCUUAACACAUGCAAGUCGAACGAUGAUGCCAGCUUGCUGGUGGAUUAGUGGCGAACGGGUGAGUAACACGUGAGCAACCUGCCCCUGACUUCGGGAUAACCGCGGGAAACCGUGGCUAAUACCGGAUAUGACGCGCUAUCGCAUGGUGGUGUGUGGAAAGAUUUAUCGGUUGGGGAUGGGCUCGCGGCCUAUCAGCUUGUUGGUGGGGUGAUGGCCUACCAAGGCGACGACGGGUAGCCGGCCUGAGAGGGUGACCGGCCACACUGGGACUGAGACACGGCCCAGACUCCUACGGGAGGCAGCAGUGGGGAAUAUUGCACAAUGGGCGCAAGCCUGAUGCAGCGACGCCGCGUGAGGGAUGACGGCCUUCGGGUUGUAAACCUCUUUCAGUAGGGAAGAAGGCCCUCGGGUUGACGGUACCUGCAGAAGAAGCGCCGGCUAACUACGUG
rnacentral:rRNA from 1 species